rnacentral:rRNA from 1 species
CACGUAGGACACAAGCGUUAUCCGGAGUUACUGGGCGUAAAGGGCUCGUAGGCGGCCAACUAAGUCAGACGUGAAAUCCCUCGGCUUAACCGGGGAACUGCGUCUGAUACUGGAUGGCUUGAAUCCGGGAGAGGGAUGCGGAAUUCCAGGUGUAGCGGUGAAAUGCGUAGAUAUCUGGAGGAACACCGGUGGCGAAGGCGGCAUCCUGGACCGGCAUUGACGCUGAGGAGCGAAAGCCAGGGGAGCAAACGGG